UGUAAUUUUUAAAUUAUUUAUAUUUAAGUAGUAAUAGUUAUGAUCUUGAAACUUAAAUAAUUUGGCGGUAUUUUAGUCUAUUUAGAGGAAUUUGUCCUAUCAUCGAUAGUCCACGUUGAACCUAACUUUGAUUUAUAAGUAUGUAUACCGCCGUCUAGAAAAUCUUUUUAGAGUUUAAUUUCUUUAUAUUUUAAUAAGUUAUAUUUCAGGUCAAGGUGCAGUUUAUAUUAAAGUAGAGAUGAAUUACAAUAUAUAAAUAUAUUACUAAUUGUGAAUUGAAAAUUUUAUAUGAAGGUGAAUUUAAUAGUAAUUUUAUAAAGAUUGUUAAUAUGAUUUUGUUAGCUCUAAAAUAUGU
rnacentral:rRNA from 1 species